ACACGACUACAUUAGAUACCCCGGUAGUCCUAGCCGUAAACGAUACUCGCUAGGUGUCGGCCACGGUGCGACCGUUGUCGGUGCCGUAGGGAUGCCGUGAAGCGAGCCACCUGGGAAGUACGGCCGCAAGGCUGAAACUUAAAGGAAUUGGCGGGGGAGCACCACAACGGGUGGAGCUUGCGGUUUAAUUGGAUUCAACGCCGGAAAUCUUACCGGGACCGACAGCAACAUGAAGGCCAGGCUGAAGACUUUGCCGGAUUAGCUG
rnacentral:rRNA from 1 species